rnacentral:lncRNA from 1 species
UAAAUAUAUAACAUCAUCCACAUUUAAUUCUCCUUUCAUUUUCCUCAUUCAACUAGUAAUUAAAAGUUAGAAAAAAAAUCAUUUGCCAAAAAGUAUAACAAAAGUGCAAAUCUUUUAUCAUGACAAAGAAAAUUAUUUAACUGUUAAGCCCCUCAUAUAUCAUGUGCCAAGUACCUAUUGUUGUACCUUACAACGAGAAAAUAGAGUCUCAGAUUCCUAAACCUUAUGCUUUCGUAGCACACCUUUCUCUCGCCUUAAUCCUUUUACAGUCAUUUUCCUUUCUUCUCUCUAUUAUUAUCAAUUAAAGAAUUACCAAAAAAUAAAUACUUGUACCUAAGCAUGAACAGAUUUACAUUUAUUGGCAGGAAAAAGAAAUCACAAACUUGGUCAGCCGUGUCAACUUACAAAAUAAUUGAAAAUUCAUGGGGGCAGAAAUAAAUAAAUUCACAACCUUUUUCCACCAAAAAACUAGUGCAGCAUCACAGUGUUGUGCACUACUCACUAAAACUCGCACCAAGCUCAAAUAUUAAGAUUUCUAGCUUUUUUCCUUUUUUCUCUCCUUCUUGAAUAAUUUUACAAACAAAUAACAUUGGGUGGGUACCUAUAAAUUAUAACUUUCUCGAUAGAAAAAUAAAAAUAGUUCUUGAUAGAAAAAGUAAAAAUGGACCACAAAAAAAAAAAAAAAAAAAAAGAAAAGAAAAAAAGAAAUCUGAAAUGGCAGCAUCCAAGGCAAGUGCAACAUGAUUAAUCAACCAUCCACGCUUAUCCUUCAUUACAAUUGAAGAAGACAAAGGGAAUUUCACUGUAUUAGCAUCAGAAUAUUUAUCAGAACCGCCAUGUAAAGUCACCCUAUUGUUAUCAUAUGCUGAUUGGUGAAAUGAAGAAUCAGAAGAAUAGUGUUGAAACUAAGGGCAACCCAUGUAAGAAAAAGGAAAAAAAGAGAGUAGAAAUGGAAUUGCAUGCGGUUUUUUGAGGAAGAUUUUCAGUGAAUUUAACAGGGUUGCUGCAGUUUGUGGAGUUUGCGACUGGAGAAUAGGGCUAAGAGACAUUUGGGAAGAGAGAAAGGAGACUGAAGAGAGACGGGUUGGAAUGAAGUUUGUCUUUCACGUUUCCCGUGUUUUAAAAAAAAAAUUGGGUUUUGUAUACAAAACGUCCAAAUUGACGUUUUGCGUUUUCUUCACUUUUUUUUUUUUUUUCGAAAAUUUGAUUUUCAUUAAGGAUAAAGAGAACGCGUUUUCAUUGCUUUGAAAAAUCGAAAACAGAAAACAACUUGAAAACAACAAAGAGAACCGGCCUAAGUUUCAAGAAAAAAAUUCAAGCCAAAAAAGUAUUUUCAAGAAAGAAAGC